AUUGAACGCUGGCGGCAUGCCUUACACAUGCAAGUCGAACGGCAGCACGGGAGCAAUCCUGGUGGCGAGUGGCGAACGGGUGAGUAAUACAUCGGAACGUGCCCAGUAGUGGGGGAUAGCCCGGCGAAAGCCGGAUUAGUACCGCAUGAGACCUGAGGGUGAAGGCGGGGGAUCGCAAGACCUCGCGCAAUUGGACCGGCCGAUGUCAGAUUAGCUAGUUGGUAGGGUAAAGGCCUACCAAGGCAACGAUCUGUAGUUGGUCUGAGAGGACGACCAGCCACACUGGGACUGAGACACGGCCCAGACUCCUACGGGAGGCAGCAGUGGGGAAUUUUGGACAAUGGGCGCAAGCCUGAUCCAGCAAUGCCGCGUGCAGGAAGAAGGCCUUCGGGUUGUAAACUGCUUUUGUCAGGGAAGAAAUCUUCUGGGCUAAUACCCUGGGAGGAUGACGGUACCUGAAGAAUAAGCACCGGCUAACUACGUGCCAGCCGCCGCCGUAACAC
rnacentral:rRNA from 1 species